GGCUGGGUAUCCAACUUUACAUGCCUUUAUUCAGUUCAUAUCUGAGUUUGGCGUAUUCAGUGAUUCAAGCAUGAAGAAAAAGGAAACAAUUUUUCCAGAAAUUGGGCAGCCUUUUCGACCUUUAAUGUUUGAAUCUGUCCUACAAAACUUUACUCCGGAUGUCCCAAAUAGCUUGACAGGCAGACCUAGGUAUGUUACUGACAGCAUAAAAUAUUCAGUGAUUCUAGCAUGAAGAAAAAGGAAACAAUAUUUCCAGAAAUUGGGCAGCCUUUUAGACCUUUAAUGUUUGAAUCUGUCCUACAAAACUUUACUCCGGAUGUCCCAAAUAGCUUGACCGGCAGACCGAGGUAUGUUACUGACAGCAACAGCAACAGCAAUUAACAACAACAACAACAACAACAACAACUACCCAGUAUAGUCCCACAAAGUGGGGUCUGGGGAGGGUAAUAUGUAGACGAGCCUUACCC
rnacentral:lncRNA from 1 species